ACCGUGGAGCAGCCGGAGAGCCUCACCGUGGAGCUGCCGGAGAGUCUCAAAAAGGAGUCCGAGACUGUAUUUAUACUCAACUUUGUUCCUCUGUCUUCCCCACACUCUCCUACUUCUCUCUCUCCUCCCUCCUCUACUACAUUUACAGCUGUUCUUCCUCCACACUCUUCUCCUCCUCUACCUCCUCUGCCAUGCUCUAAGUCUUUGCGACAGAGGAAGAAAAAAACCUCAAUUUGUUCACCAGCACCUUCUGCCACCUCUGUCUCUCCUCCGUCUCUUAUCACCACAGAUCUCUCCUUCAGUCAGGAGGGGCCAUGUGUGAAGAAGAGAAAAAAGGGCAAGUAUUUUGUUCUUUAGUUAUUUAGCUGUGUUUAAGUGACCAGUGUCCAAGGGCUGUGGUUAAUGUCAAUCACUGACUUGAGCUAAGAGGGCUUUGGGAAACCCAGCCCAGUACAUUUUGCUUGAUCAACAAAAAGCAGGGACAAAGUCACUUGGACCACAGAUCACCUCACAAGCGAAAUUAUAACUAUUAACUUGAGAUUCAACUACAAAGCAUGACACUCAUUGCUUAAUAAAUUUUCAUUGUCUUUUGAUCAUUAAGGUUGCCGGAAAUGUAGUAGGCAGAAGAUCUUCCUAUUUGAUAAAAUAACUGGAGAAAGAAUAAAUGAGGGAAAAGCAGAAUUGAAAGUCCACUGGUUGCCUUGCAUUGUGUGUGGCAAAACUUGGGAUGACACAUGGGAGCCUGCCAGCGAACUCCAACAUUUUUUGCCUGAGUCUCCGAAUCCCAGCCAGUUUUGACCAUGGCAGUCUACUCACCAUAAACACCUGGACUCGUCAAGCACACUUCACUUCUGUGUGUUUGUUGUUGUUUUGUUUUGUUUUGCUUGCUGUUCUUCAUUAAAGUUUCUGCACAGUGCAUACAGUCUUUUAGUAUUUUUUUUAAACACUGAUUCUCAAAGUGUGGUACGCAGAGGAAUCACUGAAUUAAAUAUAAAUUAAUGUUAAAACACUAAAAAGGUGGCUAAAUGAUGCCUGUGUUAAUUUUUUGAUAAAGUACUGUACAUUUUUUACUUUAAAUUGAAGUACAGCACAGUUUUUAUUUAACUUUUAGUUACAGUGCAUUUAUCAUUUUAAAUUAAUCAUUUAAGUUUUUUAUUUACCUCUGUAUGCAAGCACAGUGCAGUGUUAAUCUUCAAACUGUAUUUACAAUGUUUAAAGUG